UUUCUUACGGGACGCAGCAGUGGGGAAUAUUGGGCAAUGGACGCAAGUCUGACCCGGCAACGCCGCGUGAAGGAAGAAGGCUUUCGGGUUGUAAACUUCUUUUAAGGGGGAAGAGCAGAAGACGGUACCCCUUGAAUAAGCCACGGCUAACUACGUGCCAGCAGCCGCGGUAAUACGUAGGUGGCGAGCGUUGUCCGGAUUUACUGGGUGUAAAGGGCGUGCAGCCGGAGAGACAAGUCAGAUGUGAAAUCCACGGGCUCAACCCGUGAACUGCAUUUGAAACUGUUUCCCUUGAGUGUCAGAGG
rnacentral:rRNA from 1 species